rnacentral:rRNA from 1 species
UACAGAGGUCCCGAGCGUUGUUCGGAUUCACUGGGCGUAAAGGGUGCGUAGGUGGUGAGGCAAGUCGGAUGUGAAAUCUCCAAGCUCAACUUGGAAACUGCAUUGGAAACUACCUUGCUAGAGGAUUUGAGGGGGGAUUGGAAUACUUGGUGUAGCAGUGAAAUGCGUAGAUAUCAGGAGGAACACCGGUGGCGAAGGCGGGUCUCUGGGCCGAUACUGACGCUGAGGAGCGAAAGCGUGGGGAGCAAACAGG